UUCGCAAUGCCCGAAAGGGUGACGAAGCGACGCCGCGUGGGUGAGGAAGGCCUUCGGGUAGUAAAGCCCUGUCAGGAGUUAAGAAUGUAGGCUCGCUAAUAUCGGGUCUAUUUGACAAAGGCUCCAAAGGAAGCCACGGCUAACUCUGUGCCAGCAGCCGCGGUAAUACAGAGGUGGCAAGCGUUGUUCGGAAUUAUUGGGCGUAAAGAGCGCGUAGGUGGAUUUGUAAGUCAGAUGUGAAAGCCUUCUGUUCAACGGGAGAAUUGCAUCUGAAACUACAGACCUUGAGUAUAGGAGGGGAGAAUGGAACUUCUGGUGGAGCGGUGAAAUGCGUAGAUAUCAGAAGGAACGCCGGCGGCGAAAGCGAUUCUCUGGCCUAUUACUGACACUCAGUGCGCGAAAGCUAGGGGAGCAAACGGGAUUAGAUACCCCGGUAGUCCUAGCCGUAAACGAUGGGCACUAAGUAGAGGGGUUUU
rnacentral:rRNA from 1 species